AUUUUUAUUUUUAAAGGAAUGAGGGACAUCCAUAAAGUUUUCACUCUCACUAGCUUGAUCCAAAAAAUUCCGAUAUCGGAUUGUGGUAUUGAUAUUUCGACGACCCUUUUUGCUUACAGACGGAGAAAUCGGACGAUGUACAAGAGCCGGCGAGUUUGAAGAGUUCAGGUUUAGUAUGUGCUAGGGAUUGAGCACUUUUGGCUUGGCGAUUGGGAAUUUUUACGGGAAAGGAACGAGCGAGGAAGUGAAAAAGAAAGAAAUGUUGUUUCAGGUGGGAGGUCAAGGGACUCGUCCCACAUUCUUCGAGAUGGCGGCGGCUCAACAGCUUCCUGUCAGUCUCCGUGCUGCUCUUACCUACUCAAUUGGUGUAUUGGCCUUAAGAAGGCCAUUCCUUCACAGAGUCUUGGACUAUGAAGAUGAAUUUUUCGCCUUGCUCAUGCUGGUUCUUGAAACUCACAGCAUACGAACAACAGAUGCUUCUUUUUCUGAAUCUCUAUAUGGCCUUCGAAGAAGAGCAGUUAAUAUCAGGGCAAAGAACGAUGAUACUAGCUCAAAAUCAGCUGAUGCCACUAAUCAUUCUGGAUUAGAGAAGCGACAAAAAGUUCUAUCAGUAGUUUUCUUGGUUGUGCUUCCAUAUUUAAAACAUAAAUUACAUUCAAUGUACAAUAAAGAAAGGGAAGCUAGGCUUCAAGCUAGUCUAUGGGGAGAUGAAAGUGAAGGAUUGGAUGUCAGCCAGAGCUUUGCUGAAGAAGAUUUUCAAGUGUCGAGAGGAACUUUGAAUGCUGAAGCCUCUGUUGGAUUGCGGGUGAGAAAGAGAGUUCACAAAAUUAUAGGAUUUUGCUACCCUUGGUUACAUGCCACUACCGAGGGCGUGUCAUUUGCUUAUCAGUUGCUAUACCUGCUGGAUGCCACUGGAUACUACUCACUGGCACUGCAUGUUCUUGGCAUUCAUGUCUGUCGUGCUACAGGACAAGAGCUGAUGGAUACAUCUUCCAGAAUUUCCAAGAUUCGAAGCCGUGAACGUGAGAGACUUCGUGGCCCUCAAUGGUUGAAGACAUUACAAGGAGCGCUGCUUAGCUGUACAUACACGAUACUUGACUAUGCACAGACUGGUUUGAUUGCUUCGGUGUUCUUUUUCAAAAUGAUGGAAUGGUGGUACCAAUCUGCUGAGGAGAGAAUGUCAGCACCAACAGUAUAUCCCCCUCCCCCUCCCCCUCCUCCCCCAAAGGUAGCAAGAGAGGGGAUACCGCUGCCGCCAGACAGAACAAUUUGUCCAUUGUGCUCGCAGAAGCGUGCAAAUCCAUCUGUCAUUACAGUUUCGGGGUUUGUUUUCUGCUAUGCCUGCAUCUUUAAGUAUGUUACCCAGUAUAAGCGCUGCCCAAUCACGUUGAUGCCUGCGACGGUUGACCAGAUACGGAGGCUCUUUCAUGAUGUUUAGGGUUCUCCGGCAAUGAGAAGGGGCUUGGUUAGUAAGGCAUUUCGUAUCAGCAGAGACGCCAGCCACUUGUCAAUGUAUAUCCUGUUGAUAUAUAUGUAUGUAUGUAUGUAUGUAUGCAUGCAUGCACACACAACCCCCUUUCCUUUUGCUAGUGUUAGGGGCUCGGCAAUAGGCGCCAUUAUACAUCGUUGUAAUUAAGUGAAGGAGUAUGAAUAUGGUAAUGCAUUAAGCGUGAAGCUUCGAGGUUACCGACAUGUGGUGAUUUCGAGUCCACUUCUUUUUCUGUGACGUCUACUUGGGACCAUUUCAGUUCAGCUGUACCGAUUUAUGGCCAUGUUUCAUCAAGUACACUGGCGAAACAUAAUUUCUGUUUAGAGUGUUUUUUUCCCCCAACCCAGUAUUAAAAAAAAAAAAGAGGAUUAUUUAAGUCAA